AUUGAACGCUGGCGGCAGGCCUAACACAUGCAAGUCGAACGGAGCGGCAGACGGGUAAGUGAUGCCUAGGCAUCUGCCUGGUGGUGGGGGGUAGCGUCCGGAAACGGGCGCUAAUACCGCAUACUAUCAGAUGAGCCUAGGUCGGAUUAGCUAGUUGGUGGGGUAAAGGCCUAACAAGGCGACGAUGCGUAACUGGUCUGAGAGGAUGAUCAGGCACACUGGAACUGAGACACGGCCCAGACUCCUACGGGAGGCAGCAGUGGGGAAUAUUGGACAAUGGGCGAAAGUCUGAUGCAGCCAUGCCGCGUGUGUGAAGAAGGUCUUCGGAUUGUAAAGCACUUUAAGUUGGGACGAGGUACCAACAGAAUAAGCACCGGCUAACUUAGUGCCAGCAGCCCCGGUAAUUC
rnacentral:rRNA from 1 species